rnacentral:lncRNA from 1 species
AGAUGGCAGAACAACCAUACUAAGAGGUAUUGAAGGCUUUCUGUGUGCUGAAGAGCGUUCCAUGGAUUGUUCCAUUUAAGCCUCAGAGCAGUUCUGUGACGUGAUAUGUUGAUGUGACACUUAAGAUCAUGACGAAGACGUAUUAGAAGAAAGAGCAUGAAAACCAAAAACACAGGGAGAAGCUAGUCAAAUGGUCUGAAGCAACAAGGCAAUGAGCCCCAAGAUGCCCCAAGAACCUUGAGAAAGUAACUUCCAUGCGACAAAAGGAUUGAGAUGCAUAGGAAGACCCCUGCCUGAGCCUCCCAGCUGUGGGAAGAGACCCUCCCAGGAACAGGCGCCGGGGACCCUACCUUCUUCCAGAACCUUCUGUGACUGCCUGCCUGGCUGAGCUCUCCUUCUUCCCAGGGUCCUCAGUGGAAUUGCCAGUUGAAAUACAGAACAUCCAGUUAUAUUUGAAUUUCACGUAAACAACGAAUAGUUUUUUUCAUAUGAGUAUAUCCCAAAUAUCUUGUGGAACAUACUUACACGAUGUUUAUCUGAAAUUCAGAUUUAACUGGU